CUGCAGAUGAUGGGAAUGGCUGUGAUGUUGGAUGAGAUAAUUAACUAUAUAAAUUCGUUGCACAAUCAGAUUGAUUUUCUCUCCAUGAAGCUUUCUGAAGCAAGUUUGUUGUAUGACUUCAACUCACCAUCUCAAGCACAACAAGGAAGCACUUAUGGAGAAGCAAUGGAGAAACUCAGAAACAUAUGAGAAAUGGAUAUGGAGGCAUUUCAGAGUUCCAAACUCUAGAAGAUGGCCUCUUUAAUUUUAAAUUUUUGGUUAUCAUUGAUUCUGACAUGAUUGAC